rnacentral:rRNA from 1 species
UAGGGAAUCUUCGGCAAUGGACGAAAGUCUGACCGAGCAACGCCGCGUGAGUGAAGAAGGUUUUCGGAUCGUAAAACUCUGUUGUUAGAGAAGAACAAGGACGUUAGUAACUGAACGUCCCCUGACGGUAUCUAACCAGAAAGCCACGGCUAACUACGUGCCAGCAGCCGCGGUAAUACGUAGGUGGCAAGCGUUGUCCGGAUUUAUUGGGCGUAAAGCGAGCGCAGGCGGUUUCUUAAGUCUGAUGUGAAAGCCCCCGGCUCAACCGGGGAGGGUCAUUGGAAACUGGGAGACUUGAGUGCAGAGGAGGAGAGUGGAAUUCCAUGUGUAGGGGUGAAAUGCGUAGAUAUAUGGAGGAACACCAGUGGCGAAGGCGGCUAGCUGGUCUGUAACUGACGCUGAGGCUCGAAAGCGUGGGGAGCAAACAGG